CAUACACUUAGGUUGGAGUCAUUAAAACUAGUUUACAUACACUUAGGUUGGAGUCAUUAAAACUAGUUUACAUACACUUAGGUUGGAGUCAUUAAAUCUAGUUUACAUACACUUAGGUUGGAGUCAUUAAAACUAGUUUACAUACACUUAGGUUGGAGUCAUUAAAACUAGUUUACAUACACUUAGGUUGGAGUCAUUAAAACUAGUUUACAUACACUUAGGUUGGAGUCAUUAAAACUAGUUUACAUACACUUAGGUUGGAGUCAUUAAAUCUAGUUUACAUACACUUAGGUUGGAGUCAUUAAAACUAGUUUACAUACACUUAGGUUGGAGUCAUUAAAACUAGUUUACAUACACUUAGGUUGGAGUCAUUAAAACUAGUUUACAUACACUUAGGUUGGAGUCAUUAAAUCUAGUUUACAUACACUUAGGUUGGAGUCAUUAAAACUAGUUUACAUACACUUAGGUUGGAGUCAUUAAAUCUAGUUUACAUACACUUAGGUUGGAG